AGAGUUUGAUCCUGGCUCAGGAUGAACGCUGGCGGCGUGCCUAAUACAUGCAAGUCGAGCGAAUGGAUUAAGAGCUUGCUCUUAUGAAGUUAGCGGCGGACGGGUGAGUAACACGUGGGUAACCUGCCCAUAAGACUGGGAUAACUCCGGGAAACCGGGGCUAAUACCGGAUAACAUUUUGAACCGCAUGGUUCGAAAUUGAAAGGCGGCUUCGGCUGUCACUUAUGGAUGGACCCGCGUCGCAUUAGCUAGUUGGUGAGGUAACGGCUCACCAAGGCAACGAUGCGUAGCCGACCUGAGAGGGUGAUCGGCCACACUGGGACUGAGACACGGCCCAGACUCCUACGGGAGGCAGCAGUAGGGAAUCUUCCGCAAUGGACGAAAGUCUGACGGAGCAACGCCGCGUGAGUGAUGAAGGCUUUCGGGUCGUAAAACUCUGUUGUUAGGGAAGAACAAGUGCUAGUUGAAUAAGCUGGCACCUUGACGGUACCUAACCAGAAAGCCACGGCUAACUACGUGCCAGCAGCCGCGGUAAUACGUAGGUGGCAAGCGUUAUCCGGAAUUAUUGGGCGUAAAGCGCGCG
rnacentral:rRNA from 1 species